UACAGAGGUCUCAAGCGUUGUUCGGAUUCAUUGGGCGUAAAGGGUGCGUAGGCGGCGCGGUAAGUCGGGUGUGAAAUCUCGGAGCUUAACUCCGAAACUGCAUUCGAUACUGCCGUGCUUGAGGACUGGAGAGGAGACUGGAAUUUACGGUGUAGCGGUGAAAUGCGCAGAUAUCGGGAGGAACACCUAUGGCGAAGGCAGCUCGCUGGGACGUUACUGACGCUGAGACGCGAAAGCGUGGGGAGCAAACAGG
rnacentral:rRNA from 1 species